GCGGAAUAUAAACCAGAGUACUCAAAAUAUACAUGUCAUGAAUCAAUUAUUACAUCAACAUGGAUGAAUCUCAAAACCCUAACACACGGGUAAUCUCCAAUCAUAACAAAUAAUCCAAAACAAAUGAUCUAGACUACGACAGACGCCUAGAUCAGAGCCAACCUAACUCUAUAGACACUGAUACCGGAGAUAGCUCCCAAUAUCCACCAAGCACAAGAACUCACCGAGCAACUAAUCCUGCACAACGUCUACCCAUCCAUACAGAUAGGUAGGCGGCCAAAACCACUGGGGUAAGUAUUACAUCAUCAUAAUCCACAUAACAGUUAACAUGAAUAUUUCAAACUAAACAUCAUGCACUUGAUCAAUAAUAGUAUUCACACACAUAUAUAUAUAUAUAUAUAUAUAUAUAUAUAUAUAUAUAUAUAUAACACAAUUCCAAUAUCUCACAUCAAUAAUCACCAAUCACAUGUGUCAUGAACAAAUAUCAAUUCACAGUUAUUCAUACACAAUCACCAAUCACAUAUAUCAUGAACAAUCUUCAAUCAUAUUUCAUGAAUAAUCACCAACCACAUUUAUCAAUAAGAUUCAUGUCAUGAUAUGCACCUAUUGACACAUAUAUGCAUGUGGUACCAUAUUACCUCAAGGUCGUCACCUUCGAUGCAACAAAAACAUCGUAUGUAAGAUUUCACACCCGUCUUACAUAAUCUCCGAAGUAAAAGAGUUCAACCCUUUUACAACUACAAACUCAACGAGACUAUGAUGCAUGGACAUGUAACAAGACUCGAUAAUGCGACAACAAUCCACAAUUUUUACCACAAUAUAUAGGACAACUCCCAAUUAUAUUGAUCAUCUCCGCAACAUUUGCAUUAUCAAGAAAACAUGUCCAUACACAAUCAAUUCAUAGUAUUCAUCAUCACACAUCAACAUGAUUAUCAAUAAUCAACAAUGUCAUUCAACAUCAACUAUCACAUAUAGUUUCACCAUUUCAAGCAUUCUCAUAUUCCAAGUAAGAGAACAUACAAUAUCUUAUGAUAAAUAUCAUAUCCAGCACAUAACAAUUCAUUCACACAUCUCCAUUUAGUCAUACAAGACUAGUCACGAAAGAUCAUAAGACAAUUGGUUUAAAGAACCAUUUUCCAAUAAAAAUCCACAUCAAGUGGCAAACGGCCAACAUUGAUAACUCUCAAAGUAAAGUAACUUAUUCAAGUUUGGAAACUAACAAAUCAAUCUUAAUCAAUCAUAUAGUCAUGAGAUUAAGCCACUUACAAACUAUUAGACAUUAGUUCAAAGAAUAACUUAAGUUCGUAUGAGAAAAUCCCAAGUUUACACAUUCCACAAUCCCACCCGAAAAUCAAGUUUGCCAUGAUUAAGACAUUGUACCAACCUUACAAGCCUUGUCUAAGCCUAUAUGAAUUGUAGACCAAGUUUGCAAUCCUUUUUGUUCACAAAAUUCCAAUUUUCGACAAUUUCCGAAAAACCGAAAACGACACAAACUCAAGUUUCAAACUAUUUGGAAAAUUGAAGUUUUGACAAAGCCAAAUGUCUUCCAGUAGAAAGGUAAGUGAAAACAGCAAAAGAACACUUCAAAACGAUCGCCUAGGACCCCUACACGACCAGCCCCAAGCACCCGGACACGGAACAACGUUCCCGUUGUCCUGUCCUGGGCGCCUGGCGCUAGAGGUGCAGCGCCUAGCGCUAGCUCACUGACAUUCAGGCGCCUAGCACCGUUACUCAGGCGCAGCGCUCCGUAACGCACGUUUACGAGUGUUUCGGCCGCGGGUUUUCGCCAAUUUCGCUCCAAAAUCGAAUGUGUAAAACCCCUAAUCAUCAAAAGUGAUCUGAGGCAUAACCCGAGACUCUAACACGUCAAACUCGCUCGUUUCGUGGCAUUUUGAAUAAGUUAUGGAAUUGUUUUAAAAUGAUUUUUCUCAAAACAACAAAUCUUCAACAACAACAACAAUUCAUUUCUUCCAAUUCAACACAAUUCAACAACAACAUCUCAACAUAAUUCAUACCCAUGUCAUGCAAUGAGAUUAUCAUCAACAAUUAACCACAACCACAACUUAUGAUCAUGCAUUCCAUCAUAUUUCAACAACAACAUGUCAUAAUUCACCAAUUUCACAAAACCACCAACAACAAUCCAUUUCUCAACAACAAAUCAUGAAUCAUGCAAACCUAAGCCAUGAUUUAUCAUAAACAACAUGACAUAGCAACAACAACAUCAAUUGAUCAUGAAACUUAUCACAAUUCAUCAACCACAUAGCAUAACUCACCAAUUGAGCAUAUUUUCAACAUAUAUCAAUUUCUCAUACUUUGAACAUGUAAUUCAACCAACAACAAUUCAAUUAUUCAUAACUUCAUACAUCUAAACAUGUCAUCAUAAUUAGAGUACGAAUUUCAUCAUCCAUGAACAAUUAAUCAAUUCACCCAAUUAAGCACUUAUUCAUACAAUAAUUGAAAAAUUGCAAUAAAUGAUUAUGAUGAAUUCUAACCCCCUUACCUUAGUUAGAUUAAUCUCCCUAGCUUAGGCUUCAAUUUUGCUCAUAGCUCUUCCCCCAAUCCUUGAUUCUUCAAGUUCCUCUUCUCUCUAACCUUUCUUCUCUUGCUCCCACUUUCUCUCUCUAACUCUCUCAAAAAUAUCUUAUGAAAUGAAAGUGUGAGGAAAUUUCCUCUAAGACAAGGUUUUUGUAGUAAAUCCCCCUUAAUGGGCCUAACUCUCAAACUUAAUGGAUUUAACCCAUUCCAACUUAAUUCUCAAAUGUUUCUACACACACAACGGUAAAUCACUAAUAACGGUCAAAUAACGGUAAAAUGUCACCAACGGUCACUAAACGGUAAAACCUUAAUUAUUUACUCUAGUAACUUAGUAAAACAACGGUUCUCACUAAUCACUAAAAGUAAUUCUCACCAAAACUUAUAAUUUUACCCGUUCUCACAAAAUGACCAAAAUACCCCUAAGUCUUAAAUGACUAAAAUACCCUUCUAACACGGGAACCCAUGAAAAUGCACCCAAUGAUGAAUAAUCACACACAAGUACAUAUAAACACAUAAUAAAAGUAAUUAAAAUUAAUCUGGUUUAAAAAAAUCAGGCUGUUACAAGUCGCACCCUCCCACACAAGCUAUGUUGUCCAAAUGCAAUACCUGUCGACGUAACAAGUUAUCUUUCGUAGGUAAUAUAUUUCGAAAUAGUCUCCAAGCAAACAUCGACACCUUCAGUGGAGCUUGCUUAUGCCACACCUCUUCCACCAAUCCCCUUUCCGGAGGCUCGUUCGCCGUCGUGAGAUAUUGAUAGGUUCCCUUCACUAAAUAGCCGUGAGCGGGAUCAAUGAGCCACCUCCACCUGUCAGGAACAUGAGCCUGCAAAACAACAUCAUGCAGUGGUAUAGAACAUUUUGUGACACUCUCCUCCUGCCAAGCAUGCAGGCGCCUCCGCCAGCCCCACACAUCACCUCCCUCCUCCCACCCAUGCCUCUCCAUGUUCUCCAUCGUCUCCCACCUGUUUUCAGCCAACUCAAAAAGGCGUGGGAAGCAAACCCGUAGGGGAACUCAACCCACCUAGUUGUCAGUCCAAAAAUAAGUGUCCCUUCCUCCACCUACUACCCUUCGGACAUUAUCUUAAAACCAACUCCCAACUCCCAAACCGACACCAUUGCGAAUACCACACAUCAUCCGCCACCACAAAGAACUCUACCUACCACUCUCCUUCAACCUUCCUCCCUCCUCCCCGUACCUAGCCUUUAAGACUCGAUACCAUAAUCUAUCCUUCUCUUCUAACAUCCUCCAACACCACUUUCCUAACAGUGUCUAACAUAUUAAAAAGGCAUUUAGAAUCAAAGGGUGGAUAUUGAAUAUAACACGUGCAUAUAUAAAAACUAAAACAAAUAUAUAAAUGUAGGACACAUGUUAAAAAAUUUACAAAUACUCUAAAAAAAAAUCGCAAAUAGUAAAUAUUUAUUGAGAAGAAGUAAUUAUCAAAAUUUUGAAAUAUAAAUUGGAACAAUUUCCGGUACAUAAUUCUAUCGUCUUUUUAGUGGUCAGGAUUUGAACCCCAAACCUUAUAUAUAUUAUGCAUUGUCCCUAUCAACUGAGUCAAUUUCACAAGGACACAUAAUUUCUAUCUUUACUAUACUAACACGUGUCUUAACAUUUCUCUAUUUUAAAAACAUGUAAAACAUUGUUCAUCAAAAUAUUCAUUAAAAUUGUUAGGCAAGUAAUCUAAAAAGAAAAAUAAGUACCAAAAGUUUAUCAUAAAGACAAAAAGAGAAAAACUAUAUAAGUUUGGACAUGCAACAACAUUGAAACUCUUAAAAAAAAUUGUCGUUUACUCAAGUUCUACAACAUUAAAAAAUAAUUCUGUCAAAAAAAAAUUAAAAAUACUCCCUCCGUCCUAUAAUAACUGAGUCAUUUGCAAAAAAAAAAAAAAAAAUUGUUCCAAAAAAAUUGACCUAUUACCUUUUUCAAUCCAACAUUAAUUACUUUUUUCCAACUAUAAUUCUAAUUAAUAUUAUCUACAUUACUCCCAAUUCAAUAUAUUCUAAUUUGCAUUUAUGAUAAGAAAGAAUGCACCAAUACUUACAAGACACUCAAAACUAUUUUUCUCUCUCUUUCACUUAUACACUUAUGUGUGAAAUCAACAAAAGGCUCAGUUAAAAUGCGACGGAGGGAACCAAGUUACUUGGGCUCUAGUGGCAAAUAGCUUUUUCCAAAGAUGUAUCCGGAAAAUACCGGAUUCGAUUUCCAGGGGAACAACGUUUGACCAGUAUGCAUGCCUCUACGCAUGAGUUGGAUUAAUCGUUUAUAUUUAGUGGAUCAAAAACAGAUGCGAAAACUAAAAAGAAAAAAUGAGACGGAGGGAGUAAUCUUCAUAGUUACGUGUAGAAAUUAUCAUAUUCGAAAAGAGGACAUUUAUUUGCUUAUUUCUUUUUAGCUUUUGAAGUAUUUUCACACUCAUAGGUUUGCCCAAUUAUGCAAUUAAGAUUCACUGGCGUAGAGUUCAAGUUGGCAACUGAACUGCGCCUAGUCACAAGUCACAGCUUUCCAAGUCAAUAAGAGCAAUUAUUUGCUCACGAAAUAAAAAGCAUAUGGUAUGAAAAUGAUGUUGACUACCAGCAACAAAAACACUGUAUUAAACUCAUACGUAAGACGACAUGAAUACUACAUAAUCUUUUUGAAAUCUAGGAUAUGAUAGAGGAUAAAAAUGUUUUUUUUUUCGGAUGAGGAUAAACAUGUUAAAUAAAUAUAGAAAAAAGAAUGUUCAUAAAAAAGAUAGUUACUAUACUCCUAUAUUACAUAUGGAUGCAUUUUUUUUUUUAUAAAAAAAAUAAAACACAGCUAAUUCAUUUCAUUCAUAACUGUGGUUAUAAUACAACAUGACAUAUGCUCAUGAAUUUAGAAACAAGUGUACGACAAUGUCGCUCAAGCUAACAAAUGAUCAAUGUUAUUUAAGUUUUUACAUGAUGCUUACCUUCAUCAAUUUUGCUAAAAAAAAAAAAAAAAAGCCUGUUUAAAACACUCUCCAAAAACACUUUUUUAAUUUUUAAAAACUUCAAAAUUUAAAACUUUUUUGUUAAACUAUUUUUUUAAAUUACAGUUUUUGAAACUAUUUUAAAUUUUUUAGUUUUGGGACUAAAACUAAAACAUGUAAAAGUAUUUAGAAUAAACAUGUAAAAGAAUUAUUGAGAAAUAACCUUUAUUUAUUGAGAAAUAAGAAAAUUUAUUAACUAAAAGUAACACCUAGAUCGAAAAGAAUUUUAUUUAAAAUAAACCAUCAAAUUAGUUUAGACACUGGUUAGUUUAGACACUCAUAGUAAGAUCUUGUGGACCUAAAUUGUCGGUUUUAUUGAGUUUAAGACUAUUUAUUAUAUUUUUAUACUUUAUAGACUAAAUUGAAGUGAUAGAUUUUUAUUAGUCCAAUUUGUCAAAUAAUGGGCCAUUCAAUUACCCUCCUAGCGAUGCUUCCCCAAUAACGACAAGAAAAACUUGUAACAAGAUAGCCAAAACCGAAUUCUAAACAAAGUGUUAUGAAAUUUUUGAUCUAAUUAUUAUGUGAACUCUAUAGUUUCCCAAAAUCCCAUGGCUUCAUCUGAAGUCGCAUCAACUUGGAUGCCUUUGCAAUUAAGUUUCCCAAGUCAUCUUUGAUAAUGAUACCAAUUUGAUCCCUCAUUUUCCAUCACUUUCUAUUUAACAAAUUGACUGUUUUUUCAAAGAAACAAAGAACUUUUUGUUCCAUAUCGUUUUUUUAUGAUGAUAUUUGAUGUAACUUUAUGUCCCUAAAUAAUUCAUUAGAUAACAUUAGUUUGCUCUGGUGUGUUACUGCAUGUUAAAUUCAAUGCGAUUUUAAAAGAUGCACAAUUUAUUCUACGGUGACAAAAUUAAUUAUGUAAAUUAAGUUUAUUGGGAUUAAAUGUGAGUUGAAUUUACAACUAUUUAUAUUUGAGUACAUUCUAGAUCGAAAAUACACGAGAUUACACUCAAAUACCAUUUUUCUCAUCUUUUUUCUUACACUCAAAUAUCAUUUUCAACUCCAGAACAUCAAAAUUCUUCAUCUGUUUCAUUCAACAUAUGAUAUACAUCUCCUUCGUUCCAUAAACGAAUCCUACUUGUUAUUAAGGGUAAAUUACCCUCAAUUCAUCAGAAGAUAACGUAGAUUUCACCAUUUUAGUCUUUUCUUACAAUCAAUUAGCAUUUUACUUCUUCAUCUCUUUCGUUCAACAUGUAAUCUUCAUCUUCUUCAAUUUAGAAUUGAAUCAUACCUAUCAUUAGGGAUAAAUUACCCCUAUUCAUGAACGUAGGCCUCACCUAAAAAAAAUACACUUGUAGAUAUUGCAAGAUCAUUUUACUUUGCAUGCCACAUAGUUAAAAGUGUAUGAACAUUGUUGAAAAACAAAGUAAAAACUAAAAAAACUAUGGUGUUAAUCCACUAUUACAACAACCUUUUCUAGAAAUAGUAACCACAAGGGUCAUAAAUAUUUCCAUGGAGUUUGGGAAUCACUUCAAUCCUGUUUCACUUUGAGUUCCAUCACCCUCAAAACCCUUCUUCCAAGUACACACUGGUAAAGUCAUUCACUGUUUCUCUUUCAUUAUAAUUUAGGUAACUUUUUAUACUUUUCUUUUUCCAAAAUGGCUUUCACAUUCAUUAUCUUGAUUGUGUUUUUGCCUCCAUUCACUUCUCUGCUUCAUCUGACACACUCUUCCCUUUGAGAACAUAUCACUAAACUUUUCUUCAUUCUUAUCACGUGGGAUUCUGACAUUUUUUUAUUUAUUUUCAACUUCUCUCUCUCAAUCAUCAAUCUUUUUUGGCUCAAGUUUCUUGCUUUUUCUUGUGUGACACUUGUGUACUUUGUACACUGUAUACUUCUUUUUUUGAAGGUUUUUUUCUUUAUCUCUUAUGAGGUUUAUGCAAAGUUGAGAUUUUGUAACUGUUUUGAGGUACUAUUCUUGCAACAAUUGAAGUGGGGUCUUUUAUCUUGUGAUGGAGUCUUGGAGUUUUGAUUCACGUGAUAAAGGGUAUGUUUCAAAUGACACACUUGGUAGUAGAACCAAAGGUUCAAUCUUAGGUUGGGAUUUGAAAACCCCAUCUAGUUUUUUACCUCAACAAAACAUAGAAAAUGACAACAAUAAUCAUGGUUUUGAGGAAUUGGGUUUUCAUGGUAUGUUGGGAAAACAAUUGUCUAAUGUUGUUGAUGAUGAUGAUGAUGUUGUUGUUGGUAGCAAAAUUGUCACUAGUAAUUCUUUUGUUAUGGCUACACCAAAUGCAUUUUCAGAAAGAGAACAACAACACUUCAAUUCCAAGCAUUCAAAUUCAAUAGGUGACACUAAUGGUUCUAAUUCACUCAUUGAUUUGAAGCUUGGUAGAUUUGGUGAUCAUAGAGAUGGAAUUGGUACACCAUUUUCAAAGGGGACCACGAUUUUGUCGUCUUCUGGGUCGUCGACACCAUCGAAGAGGGUGAGGUCUUCGGCAAUCCAUUCUCAGAUUGCUUACUGUCAAGUAUAUGGAUGUAAUAAGGAUUUGAGUAGUUGUAAAGAUUAUCACAAGAGGCAUAAAGUUUGUGAAGUUCAUUCAAAGACUUCUAAAGUAAUAGUGAAUGGAAUUGAACAAAGGUUUUGUCAACAAUGUAGUAGGUUGGUCAAUUUUUACAAGCUAAUGUUUUGUUUCACAUCUUUUGGUUUUUACACAUUGAUGUUAUGUUUGGAAUUUUUUAUAAUAUGUUGCAAAAAAUUUAAGUUGCUUGUGAAUAAUCAAAUAAUCCCAAAUCUGCAUUAUUUGUGGGAAAAUUGGUUGGUUUACUAACUUUUUGAUAGUCCAAAUUAAUCAAUAUAUGGUCUUGGAUAAGCUUCUUGAACUUAAUGGAUUCAGUCGUUUUCGGGUACUAAUUCCUUUUCUAAAACUGAAAAAACAACCAUUUUAUGAAUAUACUUAUUUUUCUGUUGAUUAUAGUAUUUUUGCUCUCUAAUUUUUUUGACUUUUACUUUAAUAAGGUUGGAUUUUAGUCACUUUAGAGCAGAAAACAAGACAUAUCUGUUGAUGAGAAAAUCAAUGCUUAAUAUUCAUCAACAGUUGAAUGAUUAUUGUUUCCUCUAAAGUGAAUUUACUCAUUUUAGAGUAGCCAAAUUCUACUUUCUAAAGUGAACAAGCUUGUAACUAAAAGCUAUACUUCUAUGAUAUAUAUAGUGCUUCUGUAAUGUUUAGCUUACUAUUCAGGUUUCAUUUGCUGGCUGAAUUUGAUGAUGGUAAGCGUAGCUGUCGUAAACGUCUUGCAGGCCAUAAUGAACGUCGUAGAAAGCCACAAGUUGGUAUUCAUUCUGGAAGAGCUGGGAGGUUGCUUCAGUCAUAUGGGGGUAAUAUUCUGCAGAAAAUAAUUUAAUCUUUUCUUCCUUCUCAAUGUUCCACCCUUCCUAAAUGUUAACUACUUUUUAGUGGAUUUAGAUUUCUUGCAUUUACAAAUUCACGCAUCCAAGCAGUCAGCACAUUGGUGGCCGUUAGAUCAAGAUCAGAGUUUGCAGAAAGCAAGCAAAUUUUGAUUUUCUUAAAAACACUUAAAUAUCGAGCUUGAAAUCUGGGCAGUCUGAUCUUGAUUUAUCGACCACCUAUGUACUGAUUGCGGAAUGCGUGGGAUUUGUGACCGCAUGCAUAUAUUUUGCUAGAGUUGAAAAUUAGAGUAUAUUGGAUUUGGAUCACAAUAAUUUUAAAAUCCUUCACAGAUAAUGAUAUCAUCUACUUGGUUUUGAUGGGUAUAUAGAAGCAUGCCAUAGUAAAAUUUGUUCCCAUACUGAAUUUUCACUUUUGGACUUAAUUUCUCAAUUUUGAUAUUGAUUUUGGUAUUCUGUUGUACAUUUGCUUUACAAUUUUCCGCAAAGAUGCAAUGCCUAUCAUCUGGCCGAAAUAUUCCAUGAUAUGUAAUUCAGUUUCAUCGAUUAAACUGUGUUGUUUAAGUGAUUUUCAUAAAAAAAUAAGCACGUGCUCUUACCCCGAUGAAGGGAAAAAAGAUGUGAUACUUUUUGAAUUCUGAUUGAUUCUAUGGAUAUAGAUCUACAACAUGGUGAUUAUGUGCCAUUUGUUACAAAUUUUCUCUUUUGUUUCUGAAUUAUUCUCCCACUUAUGUUGGUUUUGCACCAUCCUUUAUCAUUUGUCAUCUUUGGUGUAAAGCUAGCUUUAAUUUGGAUUCUAUAGUCACAUGGUGGAUAUGAACCAUUAGUGACUUGUUCAACAAUUACAGUGGAAUUAUAUCUGAAACAAAAAGAUUCAUUAUGCGGUUUAGUCACUAUCAUAGUCGGUAAUCUUAGAGUGCCAAAUUUCCGUCAACGGGAACCAUUUGGACAGCUAAUUAAGCACUUCUAGCAUAAGCUCUUACACAUAAGUGCUUAUGUAUAAGCUAUUUCUAUAAGAAAAGAUAAAAUAAAGUCAAUUUAUUUUCGUAUAAGCUAUAAGUUGUUUUUAGAAAUUAUACUAGAAAGUUUAAGGAAAGAAAUUGAAAACAACAUAUGGAUUUGUCAUAAGUUGUUUCCAUAAGCUAUUCCAAGCAGUCUCACAAGUUCUUAUGUUAGUAGAUAAGCUCAAAUAAGCCAAUGCAAGCAAGCUGUAAAGCUAUCUCUGCCUAUGUAUGAUAAUUAUCCAUUUACUUUCCUGAUUAUUAAUAUUAUAAAGCUUUUCAAAAUGACUUUUUUUUACCAUUUUUUAUUUAAUAUUAAACCAUAUUGGUAAAGGUUUUCAUAAUAUAUAUUUUCUGUUGUUGUAAUCCAUGUUUGUCUCUGAGUAAUUAACAAGAUUGUGUGGUACUUACAGAUAGCAGAUUCCAAGGAACCAUGCUAACAUCGGCAUCUUUUAUAUGCCAAGACAUACUCCCCGGUGAGGUCUUUUCUUCUGAGAAAUGUGGAAAUAGUAACUGGUGGAGACCUAUAAAAGCCGAAGGUGGAACCGGUUUUAGGCCUCUUUCUUCUAUUCCAAUUACAAAUGCACAUCCUCAGUCAAGAACUCUGUUUCCUUCAUACAACAAUAAACAAUUUCCUUUUCUUCAAGAAAACGGUGCUACAUCUGCUACAGGAAGCAUCUUCUGUGAAAACAAUAGUCAAUAUCCUCCAAUCCAAGGAGGCUCGAAUUCCGGAUCACAAUCAUUAUUCCAAGAUACCUCCUUAGGAAGCGAAGACUUCAAUGUUUUUGAAACAGAAUCAGCUGUUCAAGGAUUAUCGGGAGUAUCGGACGGUGGUUGUGCUCUCUCUCUUCUGUCAUCCCAAUCCCAAAACUCUUCAAGCCAAUCGACAGGAAUUCCCAUGCCUGGUCAUUUAGUUAUUCCGAGCAGCCAUAGCCAUUAUAGCAUGAGUCAUGUUUCUGAAAGUGGCGUCUCGGAUAGGUUUCCGUCUGAGUUAAAUCAUACGGAUGGAAGUCAUCUUAGUCCUAUACUGAUAUCAAACAAUAAUGAAAUCGCCCAUUUUGAACUGGUAGAUGGAGUUUUCCAAGGGUCAGAUUUUGUCAACGUGAAAGACCGUCUUUCCUGUGAAGAUGGCACGACCAUUGACUUGCUUCAACUGUCGUCACAACUUCAGCGUGUUGAGCAUCAGAGGCGAGCCUUGCAGGUGAAGCGAGAAAAUGAUUCUUCCUGCUCUCUACAGAUUACGUAAAAUGCUGUCGACAGGUACAUUUUAUGCUUCAUCAUAAUAUUUAAUCACCAAAUUUUCUCUACACCGGCUACUUUAGCGCUUCAACUGUACCAUGUCGUACUACUGUGUAUUUUUCUCUAGCUUGAAUUCUGCACAUUAUGCUCUAGCUUGAAAUUUCGUUUCUAAUUUUUUGGACAAAAACCUUGGCUGUAAAUUUAGGACUUGAUCAAUGACUGACCCAAAAUAUGUGAAUUGCGGUCACUAGUGAAAUUAAGAAAGUUAAGGUUUUAUAGUGAUAAUGCAAUGCACCUCUCUCUAUACAAAUUAUUCAUAUCGCAUUCACCGCUCUCUAUACAAAUCUUUGAAGAAUAAAUCUUUGAAGUCGGAAGACGAAAUAUUUGAUAGAUGUGCGAUUGAAAUAAAAAGUCAUUUUUGUGGUUUCUAUUUGCAUCCAGCUCAUAUUCAACAUUGCUUUCCACUAAAUCACUCACAACAUUUCUAAGAUUUCAUUUUCCAUUUUUGCAGAAAAGAACUUCUGCAUCUGCAGCUUGUUGUGACCGGAAAUAUUCGUAUCAGGAUAAGAACAUAGUGUCUGGAAAGAACUUAAUAUCUGGCAACUCAUAAGAUGCUAACUAGUUUAAGUAGUUUUACUUGCACUGAAUCGGCUCGUGAAGCUGACCAAUGGCGGCUGGGACACAAUAGUCCCUCUCCAUCUACAUAUAUCCAACUAGAAUGUAAUAAUAAAUAAAAGCCUGAUAUGUAUCAAUAUGUGGCAUUCAGGUUUUUCUCAUAAACACUUCAAUAAGGACAAUAGUUAGUGACAAGUGAUGUCCAAUUUAGUGAAGGUAAUCUAAUAAUGUUCAAAUUUUGAUGAAUGGGGCACCUUACAUUGGUAUGGCACUGACUACCAAGUACAUGGUUUUUCUCAAGUUACAGAUAUAUGUUAAUUUAAAUUUUAGAAUAUGUAAGAAAACAUAAUUUUAUAUAAAUAAAUGACAAAAAAAACGUUAAUUUCACGGAUAUAUUUAUCAAUAUGUUGAAUUUAGAAACUAAUUUGACCGAUGCUCAUUACGUUAAGGACUGAUUUGUAUAUUCACUCAAAUAAUAGAACAUAAUUUUUCACUUAUUGUAAAGAAUAGUGAAUUCCAGUAUUUAAAGAACUGAAGCUUCUUUAAAUUUUUUGAGUGGAGAAGUUCCCUUACAAUUUGAUUUCAACCUAGCUUUAAGUCACAUUUACGACAGUUCAGAAUUACAUGGUUUUUUCAUGAAAUGUAUUUGCAGAUUUUACUCUUCCAACUUAUAUUGGUUUUUUUUUGUGGUGGUCGGGGGUUGAAUCCCGGACCUUGCAUAUAUUAUGCAUUGUCCAUACAAACUGAGUUAGGCUCACGAUGACAACUUAUAUUGGUUUAAAUGUGAGGAAAAUUGGUCUAGUGGUAAAAAUAUAUGUAUUUGAUCCAUAGGUUCUAAGUUCGAACUCCGAUAGCGCUGAUUAUCUUGAAUAGAGGUUAAUGUUAAUCUCUUUGUAAGUACUCCUUAAAACUAAGAAUUUCUUUAUUUAUAAUGUAUUAGGGCACCAUUUUCUCACCCUUAAUUUUUUGCAUCAAGACAAAAAGUGAGAGAAUUUGAUUUUUUUUUUCCUCAAGCAAAAACUUAAUUAAAAUAUUGUAAAAAAUAAAAUAAAGUAUUCGAUAUUUUAUGUUCCUGAUUUUACUUGUAAUAGUUAGAUCAAAUAUGCAUCUUAAAUACAUAACAUGGUAUUUUUACAAGAUUUUGCAUGUUAAAUAGGAAUGCAAUUCUUUCAAUGAAUCAGGAGUUGAGUUCAUAUCCCAUAAACACGUGGCUUCAACUUCCUCAGUCGGUGCGAGAACCUCUUUGAUGGAUGUUACAUAAGUACCUAUGUAAGCGUUCGUUGAAUCUUGAGACCUAUCUUUACCUCUAAUUAGCUUCUAGGAUCUAACUCGCCUAAAAAAAUUAUUAUAAGAAAACAAGAAUGUAAUUAAUAUAUAAUAGUCGUAUAAAUAAGUAUAAUGUAGUCAUCACAUCUCAAUCUCAUAUUAUGAGUAGAGUCGUCGUAAUGGGUUAGCCUAUAUGGACCGGUCCGACAACCAGAAUAAAACACAGGGCUUGGGCCUUAAAAUUCUAGUCCAAAUUUUGGAAUUUGUUGUUCACACUUAGAAGAUGGCUAAAAAACACCAAUAAAAGACCGAAAUACCCCUCGGCAGUUAUCUGUCAUUGGCGUUAUAUUCAUCUGCAGUUUGAUGCCGCCAUAUUCGUCGGCAGUUAACUAUUGUCGGAUCCAUUGGUAGUUAACAGCCAAUGCAUUCAUUUAUGCAGACAACAAGUUCUGAAUAAUGAUUUUCAAGCCAUUUUCAGCCUAUUUAUUACCUGUCAUUCAACCACAUCAAUUCCAGAGGCAAUACAACUCAUACAUCAUUUAAAAUCAGUCAUAAACAAGAAAAUACAUAAUCUUUUACAAUUGACCAAAAUUAAAUCAAUCAGGCAUUUUGUUUAAAUUACAAGAAUGUUUGAAAUUCAUCAAAAUAUUAAUGAGUAUUUGAAAUUAAUCAACACAUUACAUAUCAUUACAUAAAAUCUCUAUUGACAUUCUAUGCACAUGCAGAUGGAACGAACACAAAGAUAUAAUAUAUUAUCUUUAAUUAUAUUCAUAAACAUAAAUCCUACGUCGCUAUCGUCACGAAUAAGUCAAGGCACAUAGCUCGCCGUUUUCCACAUGUCUUCAUCUUUAUCUGUUAUUAGGUUCAUGCAAGGCAUCUGAGCAAAUAUAUGACGUGUAUAUUGGUUUUCACCAAGAUACUCAAAAUAUUUGUUAAGUUGUGCCUUCAAAUCAUCAAUAGUGUCGAUCGGUUUUAUGAUAACCUUAAUUGUCUUUUUAAAAGCAGAGUACCGACACGGCCUUCAAUUUGUACAACCUCGGACAUGUUUAACUUCACAAAAGCUUUAUAAAAAAUCAUACAUUAGAAUGAGGUUAAACAAAACGUAAUAACCAAUAAAUUGACGGAAACAUACACAUAUAUAUCAAAUGCGUAAACAUUAAUAAUGAAUAAAAACCAAUUUCAUUUGAUGCGAUAUGACUGAUUUUUGGUGGGGGCGAAUUCUCACCCUUUUCAAUCUUCAUGACAUCUCGGAACCUAACAUGUUGAUCCAAAUAUUCAAAUUCCCAAGUCAAUGCCUCGUUACUCCUGUGAUUGUUCAACUCCGUAGAUGAUGGAGGUAGUGGACAAUUAUCUUUCAAAAAAAAGAAGCACAAAAUGAUUGUGAAUUAAGCCAAUACACAUGCUGGGAUUUUUUGCUUAGCCGGUGGUACCCCUCUAAGUUGAAAAAAAGAUUCUGAAGUUCCAAUUUCAUGAUUUGUCAACAAUACCACAAGCCUAUUGUAAUAAUUUGCAACGAUUUGUCCCAUGUCCAGAAGCGUCAACAACUUAUUAACAAGUGCAAUACCACCACUAUUUGUGGGAGGAUGCAAGUCAUUUAAGAUAUAGUUAUAACGAUCCUCACCUGCAAAUACCCCAACAUAAUCAUUUCUAUGAUUUUUCACCUCUUGAAUAAGAUGUCGACGAACCAUGAUAUGACUUUCUUCGGUCAAUUCCAAAAACUCGGCUAUAGCCCGAAAUCCACAAUUUUCAUCGCCUAUAACAUCCACCACAUUUUCAAUAAAUGGAACCAUGAAUUUUGGCAUAUAAUCAAUAGGGUUCAAAACCUGAAUAGGCGUUGGAACCAGAAUAGGCUUUGGAAUUGGAGUAGACUUUGGAAACCGAGUAGGUGGUGGAAGUAGGGAACGUGAUGUUUUACCAAGACGAGCACCUUUCCUUUUAGGACAUGAUGGCGUUAUUGGUGACAAUUGAUUAUCCGGAUGUUAGGAAUCAACACGCUCCCACGAAGAAGGGAUUCGACUAGGCGAUGCCACUUUUGCUCUAGACCUCACAAUUUCAACUUUUUUAUUGGCUCCCUUGGUUGGUAUUUUUCAUGGUGGUGGAGACAACACUAUGGUGUCUAGAAAUGCCAACUAUCGCGAAAACCUCUUUGAUUUCUAGCCUACUUUGAUCAUGGAUUUUCUUGAGACGUUCUGGAACACCAUUUCGCUCAUCCUCGACAGAAAAACCAUCUUAAUUACUUUCUUCACCCAUACAUAACCUCUGCCAAUGACGGCGUAUCUCAUCCAAUAAAAUAGGCUUGUUGUCACGGAUUUUCUUAGCAAUGAAGCUUGCACAUGGUAGCCCAUGCGAUGUCCUUUAAACACAACCGCAACUUUCCUUGUCCAUACACAAUGUUUCCCUGCAACAUUGCUCUUCCAAAACAAUGUUGCCCAAAGCAUAUCUAGACACAUAACCCCCCAACCCAUAGUAAAAAGUGACGUCUUUGAAUCUAUAUUCCAAUACAGUACAACUCCUCCCAAAUGAUGUUUGUAUCGUGUAACACCCCGUUUUCCCAACAUAAAAAUUUCAUUUAAUUAAUCAGAGUAUUCACAUAAACGGAAUGUCACAUUCUUUUCUUUAAAUCAUAAACUGAAUAAAUAACUAUUUAUCCUUUAAAAUUCAAAUACAAGAUCUUUAAUACUUCGCAGUGGAAUUUAUUCAAUAACUAAACAGUCUUUGGCACGAAUGCCUCUUCAUAAUUGUCUCAUAAAAAUUCAAUCUAAAACAUAGUCAUAAAUCUUCAAAAACAAUACGUAAGGAAUAGAAAAGCAAUAACAAAGUUCCCAUCCCGUUACGUAUCAGAGCACCUAAGACACACGAGAGAGAAUGCUCACACGACAUUAACUAUUCUUGGUUACCUGCAAGUUACUCAUACGAAGAGCAACAUUUCCAAACAGAAAGGGUGAGAUUUCACAAAACAAUAAUAUUAAGCAUAUAAUUCAACAAUUAUAUUUAAUCAACAUCAAAAACAUCUUAACAUUCUUUAUAGAUAAUAAUAUAUCAUUUAACACUUCAAUCAUAGUUUGUAUAAACAAUUACAACUUCACAGCUUAUCAACAUAAACAUCCUUGACUCGACAAAUGCGACUCUAACUCGAUUAUGCAACUUAGACCUCUUAUAUGCAUGUGGUACCAAUACGGGGCAUCAAGUCCCAAUCGAUAUUUGAGUAUUAUUAUACUUCCGGAGCAUCAAGCCCCAAUCGCUGAAUGCUAAUGCAUGGACUCGACCUCUUAAACAUCUUAAUUCAACGACCUCUUAAAUAGUCCAAUAAUUUGGAACAUCAUUAUUAACAUCUUAAUCAACUUAGACUGACUCAUGCAACUUAGUUAAAUUACAAUAGCAGCAUAGGCAGAUUACAUCAACAGCAAGACAUAAAAAUAUCAAUUGCAAUUCAACAACAUCUUAAAUAUUCAAUAAUAUCUCAAGUAAUGCACAUAAUCAAUGUAUCACAUCUUAUUCAAUCAUCAACAUCUUAAAACAUCAUACAUACAUAUAACACUUCAUCAAUCAUGGACAAUAUCGUAUUCACAAACAUAUACAUACAUAUACUAAUUCAUCAAUCAUAUUCAAUUAUUCAUUGUGACCUACGUGAAGUAAUUUGACGAUAACUCAAGUUCUAUAAAUCGUUUUGACGUCAGACCAACGACAUUAGAAAGCUAACAUCCAUACCUACAACUUUCAGAAUCAUAGACUCAAGAUUAUUGAAUGUUAGUCCCACCCUUACCUUGGAAUAUAAAAAUCGCAGCUUCCUAGGUCUCUCUCCUUUCUCUUGGCUUUUUCUCCCUUUUCUCCAAAAUUGUUUGUACGUUAUGUUUUUCUAAACUAGGUCUCUCCUAUUGAUAACUUUUCUUUUCUAUUUUAUCUUAUUUCUCUUUCUCCCCCAAAACUCUCUAAAAUCUCAUAACAACCCCUAAACUCAAUAUUCUAUUCUAAUAUAUAUAUAUAUAUAUGGCAUUUCAAAUGAGAGGACUUUUUAAAUGAGAGGGUGAGAGAAAUUAACUUAGACCGUUGGAUUUAAAUCAAGGCUUCAGAUUUAAUUGCUCUGUAAAAAGGGGUCAUGUAUUGUAACCUCCACCUCUUCUCUUCUCCACUCUGUUCUUAUCUCUCUCCCGAGUAGUUUUGUGCUGCUUCUUCUUCAUGUUUUUUUAUAUUGUUCAUCUUUGCACCAUAAAUAUGAGCAUCGAUUGAAGCAUAACAUAGUAGGAGCAUAAAUUAGACACAUGAAGUUUAGUUUGAUCUCAUUCAACAUCGAUUGACACCUGAAUAACUUUGGGUGCAUCAAAUUGUUUCUUCAGUCUUCAAAAAUAAAUCUCCAUGGAACCAUCUCAAAUCUUCUUUCCUAAAAUUGAAUGGUAACAAUCAAUACCAUCAAUAUUAAUAAUCCAAGGGUUUAUUUGACAAAGUUCUCUUGGCUGAUUCACAGAAAAAUUAAAAUAUGAGUCAAAGGUUGCAAGGAGGAAAGAGAUGAAGAGGCACUAGAUAUGUGCUAGCGCAGAUCUGACGAGUGUUCGUCGUUGUUGUUCCUAUUUAUCGGCGACGUUCCUGUUCACCAAAGUUCGUCGCCACUGUUCUUCUUUUUUAUCCGAGUUUAGCUGUUCUUGAUUUUCAUAUUACUUUUUAAACUGGUUUUUUUAAUGGUAAUACGUAGUUUCUUUUUUUAAGAAGAAAAGAAGAAACGUGUUAUAACUUAUAAUAAUGAAAGAGAUAAUGAAAUUAGAUUAAAGAUUAGAAGUCUGGAUUCAUAUGAUGCACACAAAAGGGGAAUGAAAAAAGGGAGAAGAAGCAACAGGGAGAUGAAACGGCUGGAGAAGAAGCACGCAAAAGGGGAAUGAAAAAA
rnacentral:lncRNA from 1 species